rnacentral:rRNA from 1 species
UCUACGGGUGGCAGCAGUGAGGAAUAUUGGUCAAUGGACUCAAGUCUGAACCAGCCAUGCCGCGUGCAGGAAGACGGCUCUAUGAGUUGUAAACUGCUUUUGUAAGAGGGUAAAGGCAGAUACGCGUAUCUGGCUGAAAGUAUCAUACGAAUAAGGAUAGGCGAACUCCGUGCCAGCAGCCGCGGGAAUACGGAGGGUUCAAGCGUUAUUCGGAUUGCUUUGGUUUAAAGGGUGCGUAGGCAGUCGGAUAAGUUAGAGGUGAAAUCCCGAGGCUCAACUUCGGAACUGCCUCUGAUACUGUUGGGCUAGAGAGUAGUUGAGGUAGGCGGAAUGUAUGGUGUAGCGGUGAAAUGCUUAGAGAUCAUACAGAACACCGAUUGCGAAGGCAGCUUACCAGGCUACUUCUGACGUUGAGGCACGAAAGCGUGGGGAGCAAACAGGAUUAGAUACCCUAGUAGUC